UAGAGUUUGAUCAUGGCUCAGAUUGAACGCUGGCGGCAUGCCUUACACAUGCAAGUCGAACGGCAGCACGGGAGCAAUCCUGGUGGCGAGUGGCGAACGGGUGAGUAAUACAUCGGAACGUGCCCUGUAGUGGGGGAUAACUAGUCGAAAGACUAGCUAAUACCGCAUACGACCUGAGGGUGAAAGUGGGGGACCGCAAGGCCUCAUGCUAUAGGAGCGGCCGAUGUCUGAUUAGCUAGUUGGUGGGGUAAAGGCCUACCAAGGCGACGAUCAGUAGCUGGUCUGAGAGGACGAUCAGCCACACUGGGACUGAGACACGGCCCAGACUCCUACGGGAGGCAGCAGUGGGGAAUUUUGGACAAUGGGGGCAACCCUGAUCCAGCAAUGCCGCGUGUGUGAAGAAGGCCUUCGGGUUGUAAAGCACUUUUGUCCGGGAAGAAAUCGCACCUGAUAAUACCGGGUGUGGAUGACGGUACCGGAAAAAUAAGGACCGGCUAACUACGUGCCAGCAGCCGCGGUAAUACGUAGGGUCCAAGCGUUAAUCGGAAUUACUGGGCGUAAAGCGUGCGCAGGCGGUUGUGCAAGACCGAUGUGAAAUCCCCGGGCUUAACCUGGGAAUUGCAUUGGUGACUGCACGGCUAGAGUGUGUCAGAGGGGGGUAGAAUUCCACGUGUAGCAGUGAAAUGCGUAGAGAUGUGGAGGAAUACCGAUGGCGAAGGCAGCCCCCUGGGAUAACACUGACGCUCAUGCACGAAAGCGUGGGGAGCAAACAGGAUUAGAUACCCUGGUAGUCCACGCCCUAAACGAUGUCAACUAGUUGUUGGGGAUUCAUUUCCUUAGUAACGUAGCUAACGCGUGAAGUUGACCGCCUGGGGAGUACGGUCGCAAGAUUAAAACUUAAAGGAAUUGACGG
rnacentral:rRNA from 1 species